rnacentral:rRNA from 1 species
CCUACGGGCGGCAGCAGUGAGGAAUAUUGGUCAAUGGGCGCGAGCCUGAACGAGCCAAGUAGCGUGAAGGAUGACUGCCCUACGGGUUGUAAACUUCUUUUAUAAAGGAAUAAAGUGAAUCACGUGUGCCUUUUUGUAUAUACUUUAUGAAUAAGGAUCGGCUAACUCCGUGCCAGCAGCCGCGGUAGUACGGAGGAUCCGAGCGUUGUCCGGAUUUAUUGGGUUUAAAGGGAGCGUAGAUGGGUUGUUAAGUCAGUUGUGAAAGUUUGCGGCUCAACCGUAAAAUUGCAAUUGAUAGUGGCAGGCUUGAGUACAGUUGAGGUAGGCGGAAUUCGUGGUGUAGCGGUGAAAUGCUUAGAUAUCACGAAGAACUCCGAUUGCGAAGGCAGCUUACUAAACUGCCACUGACAUUGAUGCUCGAAAGUGUGGGUAUCAAACAGGAUUAGAUACCCUUGUAGUC